AACGAACGCUGGCGGCAGGCUUAACACAUGCAAGUCGAACGCCCCGCCAGGGGAGUGGCAGACGGGUGAGUAACGCGUGGGAAUCUACCCAUCCCUACGGAAUAACGCAUGGAAACGUGUGCUAAUACCGUAUACGCCCUACGGGGGAAAGAUUUAUCGGGGAUGGACGAGCCCGCGUUGGAUUAGCUAGUUGGUGGGGUAAAGGCCUACCAAGGCGACGAUCCAUAGCUGGUCUGAGAGGAUGAUCAGCCACAUUGGGACUGAGACACGGCCCAAACUCCUACGGGAGGCAGCAGUGGGGAAUAUUGGACAAUGGGCGCAAGCCUGAUCCAGCCAUGCCGCGUGAGUGAUGAAGGCCUUAGGGUUGUAAAGCUCUUUCACCGGAGAAGAUAAUGACGGUAUCCGGAGAAGAAGCCCCGGCUAACUUCGUG
rnacentral:rRNA from 1 species